UGCAUAUGUCAUACAUCUUCUCCAAUUCAUAUAUGCACAAGAUCAUGUUGCACAAUGUUCAGAACUUGAACCUAUAUAAUUAAAAAUAACUCCUUUAAAGGCCUUAAAGUUGCUAUGACAUCAGAACCACUAUCUAUUGUAGAUGAAAUCAUAGCAAAAAUGUAAAAAAUCAAACCAGAACCAUAUAUCUUUUUUAACUGUAACGGUGUAACCACGGAAACAAAACUAAAGAUAACAGAAUUCAGGUUACAAGUUACACGUCUAAAGAGUAUAAAUUAGAGUUAAAAAAAACUUAACACAUCAGGAGACAUAAUUACUAACCUGCACAAAAUUAAAACGGGCAGCAAAUUUGAACCUAACUGACAUGAAAUGGACCGAUAUCACCGGUCAGAAUCGAACCAGCGAUCUCAUCAGUAACAGUUAAGCAAGAAAUAACCCAAUCACUAAUCGCCAUCCACACCAUAUCGCCAUCCACUGUGACACACUCCACGACACUGCCAUAAUCCUUUGUCCCCUUUUUCAUUAGUGAGCCAGAAAUGUACUUGUUGGAUCUGCAUGAGAAAGGCACUUGUUGUCGACUGAUUUGUUUCGGUUCCUUGCUAUGCCUCAAGCACUUGGUUUAGACCAGUUUUAUUUUGUUGGACCAACCAGACCAGUCUUAAUACCAACACAUAGACCGUAUGAACAGGUUAUGGUUGGGCCAGCUGUUCUGGUUUUUAGUUCUUAACCAUAUUACCUUGAAAAGUAGGAGGCAACGACCAUAAGGUAAGAUGCUCAAACUGAACCGAAUCAAUUUUGAACUUUGGAAUUUGUUCAGCAAUAAUGGGCUU
rnacentral:lncRNA from 1 species